rnacentral:rRNA from 1 species
AUUGAACGCUGGCGGAAUGCUUUACACAUGCAAGUCGAGCGGCAGCACGGGGGCAACCCUGGUGGCGAGCGGCGAACGGGUGAGUAAUACAUCGGAACAUGCCCAGUCGUGGGGGAUAACACUUCGAAAGAAGUGCUAAUACCGCAUACGUCCUGAGGGAGAAAGCGGGGGAUCGCAAGACCUCGCGCGAUUGGAGUGGCCGAUGUCAGAUUAGCUAGUCGGUGGGGUAAAGGCCUACCAAGGCAACGAUCUGUAGCUGGUCUGAGAGGAUGAUCAGCCACACUGGGACUGAGACACGGCCCAGACUCCUACGGGAGGCAGCAGUGGGGAAUGUUGGACAAUGGGGGCAACCCUGAUCCAGCCAGUCCGCGUGAGGGAAGAAGGCCUUCGGGUUGUAAAGCUCUUUCGGCAGGAACGAAACGGCGAGCUCUAACAUAGCAUGCUAAUGACGGUACCUGAAGAAGAAGCACCGGCUAACUACGUG